rnacentral:rRNA from 1 species
CCUACGGGAGGCAGCAGUAAGGAAUAUUGGUCAAUGGGCGCGAGCCUGAACCAGCCAAGUAGCGUGAAGGAUGCCUGCCCUACGGGUUUUAAACUUCUUUUAUAAAGGAGUAAAGUGAGGCAUGUGUGCAUUUUUGUAUGUACUUUAUGACUAAGGAUCGGCUAACUACGUCCCAGCAGCCGCGGUAAUACGGAGGAUCCGAGCGUUAUCCGGAUUUAUUGGGGUUAAAGGGAGCGUAGAUGGGUUGUUAAGUCAGUUGUGAAAGUUUGCGGCUCAACCGUAAAAUUGCAAUUGAGACUGGCAGCCUUGAGUACAGUUGAGGUAGGCGGAAUUCUUGGUGUAGCGGUGAAAUGCUUAGAUAUCACGAAGAACUCCGAUUGCGAAGGCAGCUUACUAAACUGCCACUGACAUUGAUGCUCGAAAGUGUGGGGAUCAAACAGGAUUAGAUACCCCUGUAGUC